UACGUAGGGUGCGAGCGUUAAUCGGAAUUACUGGGCGUAAAGCGUGCGCAGGCGGUUUUGUAAGCCAGAUGUGAAAUCCCCGGGCUUAACCUGGGAAUGGCAUUUGGGACUGCAAGGCUUGAGUGCGGCAGAGGAGACUGGAAUUCCUGGUGUAGCGGUGAAAUGCGUAGAUAUUGGGAAGAACACCUGAGGCGAAGGCGGGUUGCUGGGCCGACACUGACGCUGAGGCGCGAAAGCCAGGGGAGCGAACGGG
rnacentral:rRNA from 1 species